rnacentral:sRNA from 1 species
AGGGUACUUGUCUAUUAGAGCGGCUGAGGAAAGAGUAUAGGAAAAAAGCGGAAAUUAGAACAACAUUCUGCAAUGCUGCUGCAAUUUUCAGCAAGGCCUAGGUAAACAAUGAAGGGGAGCAGAAGUUAGUCUUCUCAUAUUUUGUUGGUUCCCUGUGCAGUUCAUUAACUGGCAUCUCUGCUUCUCCUCGCCGUCCGCUUCCCCCUGGGGCCAAAAAAACAAAGAAGCAAA